CCCCUAUGUCUGACUGAUAAAGUAUGCCAUUCAAUUAAAUCUCCAGAGAGCUUAAACUCCGCAAUAAAUCUAUUUUUAAUUUUAGUUUGCAGAAUUCAACCUGGUCAAAAUUAUGUUUAAAACACACCUUCACACUACAAUUCAAGAUUUUAGACAAGCUGGGUGGUAGGAAAACAUGUUUUUUCUUCAUAGCUGCAAUUGUUCUUCCAUGUAUUGAUACAGAGGUUGCUGUUUGGCUCCUGUUCGCAGGAGAAGGCAUUCACAUUCCUGAGUUGCACUCAGGCACACUGUUUUACAGAAAUAUAGCUGGGCUGUACAUGAUAUCAAUUCAGAAGGUGGAGAGUGGUACAGUUUGGUUGCACUUAUUUACAGCAAUGCCUUUCUGGCAGUCUUGUUCUUGAACUCCACUGAACUGUGUUGUCAAUUUUGGCUUUGACAUGUGAAUGAGUACUUGUAUUCAGUCCAUGCUUUUUUUGCCAAACAUUUUACUGAUCUCUGGAAUAAGUGGACAACUACUCAUGAAGCUAUUGAGGAGUCCUUUUUUUUUUUUUUAACAUUUUUGUGCUUCAUUUGACAAUCAGUGGAAGGCAGCACCUUGUAAAAGACAAGCUGUAUUUACUGAACAUAUUACACAGUUAAGAUAUUGGUUUACAAAGAUAACAGAUGCUGAAGUUGCAACUGAUCCCACAAAAUUCAGAAAAAGAUUCUGAUUCUUUUGCAGAUUGUAGCUUUUAUUUGAGUAGCAGUAAAGACUGGGUUUAUUUCAAACACUAAUUUUGUUAAAAAGAAAUGCAAGAUAGGAAUGCAUAUUAAACUUAUUAAACUAAUACCUCAAUAACUUUUGAGGAUAUUGCCUUAUAGAACUGUAUCACCUGAAAUGUUCCUGUCUCUGAGACAUCAAAUUAGACGUGUUUUGGUGCACAGUGCUCGUGGUACUAGUGUAUGUAUGUGGUACCACAGAUUUAUGAUAUGCCAGAAUAAAGGUAAAGCUGCUUAAAACCGCAUUAAUCAUCUAGUUAUGCACACAGCAAUGCAUAUCCCCUGUGGGAGAUAUGUAUAAUAUCUUUGUGUAAUAUAGGACACUCAUGUUUUGCAGACUUCAGACCAUCAGAGAAAUGCUAGAACUGGAAUUCUACAAUGAAAUAUUCCCAAAGAGACGAGAACUUCCAAACCUGGUUUUUUACUUGUAUGAAGAAGUGCUCAUGGGCCCAGAAGGCAGAAGUACUCAUUUAAUUGCUAAAUUCAGGUUUAUAUGUGGAACAGAGGAGUAGACUUGAAAUCAAAACUCUGGAUCCAGACACUGCUGGUAGGGAAAUUCAGACCUUUUGCAGAUAUAGCUACAUGCAUACAACACAUUCUCUCAUGAAUUUAUGCUCAGAUUAUAGGUAUUUACUUGAAGCUUCAAUUACUGGACUAUUGCACUCUCAUUUCCUGUAAGAGUUAGACACUGUCAGACUUUGAAAUGAAACUGUUUCAUGGAAGAUUUAUUACAUUUCUUAUCCUGUGCAUGCCCACUGACAUCAAGCAAUUCUGAGUGUCAGACAGUAGGACUCAGAGUUCUGCUUAAAAACUGUGGGCAAUUUAGUUCCACAGUUGAUCCCAUCUAAAGCAAACCAUGGCAUUAUAACAAAUGAAACAACAACAAAAACAACAACAAAAAACAGCUGUUAUCAAUGGCUGAAGCACAGUUUUGUACCAGACUGUUUACCAAACGAACUGUCCAUCAAUUAGUGGACUAGACAGUAUCUCCAUUUGGCAACUACUAUUUUCUCCUUUCUCUUCUGUAUGAUACCUUUGUGUAAAGAGAACAUUUGCUCCAGGAGAAAGAUCUUUAUCAUUUCCUUCUUACAUUCUGGGACUGAAGACUGCAUCCCCCAACUCCCAGAAGCCUGUGGCAGACAUCAGGCUGUUCAGCAUGUAGAUAGUGACUUUCCACUCUUCCUGGUGAAAUGAUGAUGGCAUAGCAAACACAACAAGAUUCAGGACAAGCAAGAAAAAGUACAAGAAGUUGAUCUUGUAGGUCAGUGAUAUCGGUAAUUCCCAAGCACAGAGAAGACCUAUCUGCUAGACUCUGGUCCUGGCCCACUGGAGUGAGAAAUAAAAGCAAGAAACAAUCCUGACAUUCACCAGUUUCUUUGUUGAGUUGGAGAGCUGAGCCUGUUUAUUUUAGACGUGCAACUUCUUAUUUAGGAAUUUCAGCCUCCUGACAAAUGCUACUGCUUCCAUGCAAUCAUUACUUCAUUGUUUCAUGGCUACAGGUGCACAAACACUGCCAUGCAACAGCAGUAACUACUCAGCUCUGGCAUGAGGCAACAAGUACUCUGUCAGUCAGCUCCUGGACAUGAUCCAGAGGAUGGUACAUGGCAGGGUUGGACCCCAAUAGUCAGGAUUGACUAGGUCACCCAUUUUUUUUUAGGGGAAGAGAGGUUAGCCAUAGCUGCCACAUUUGCUCUCAGACUGGCAACUCGGCCCAACGCUACACCCCUUCGCACAGCUCUAGCCUAUGAGACCAAAAAGGGGAGUCCUAUCUUGAACAAACAAGAAGCCUCUGUUGUUUAGGUCUGCUAAAGGCAGCAGACUGAUAAAUACAGAACAGAUGCAAUAAAAAAGAGUGAAAGCUAUCUCAAAUUAUCCUCUAUACUGACAAUCAUAAAGAAAACUAUAUGGAAUUGAACUGUACAUCAACAUACUGAUAAGUAUUUCAGGACCAUGCCUCAGGACUCCUGUAGCUAAGGGUAAAAGGAGAUUUGUCACCCACACAUACAACUCACAUGUGUAACAAUUGUGACAGAAUGUAAUUAUUACAUUUACUUUGGAAAGAAAAGUCAAUUUACUCUGUUGUUAAAAAAAAAAAAAAAAAAGUAAAAUUAAUGAAGAUGUAAUCCUGGUAAUUGCAGAAAUUGGUGAGAAUUCUGAGUUCACUAGGCUACUAAAUUAGAUUAAUCUCCUCAAAAUAUAUUACACUGAAAUAUCUAAUUUCUAUGCAUUUAUGAACAUGUGUUCUAUGGUAUAAUUCUGUUUAAUCUUCAGAGGCCUCUCAGAGGCCUCUAAAUUUAAUCUUAGGCAAAAUGGCAAAGUUUUGCCUGAGUAAAGAAUGCCAAAUAAAGCCCUAAAAAGGGAUUGCUAGGAUCAGAAUUACUUGUUGUUUCCAGCUGCUUUGUUCUGUACUGGUAUUGUAAAGAUGCCUUGAAUUCAGCUUAAUUGGAGAGUUAAGCUAGGUUUACAGCUGUUUUUUUUCUUAUUUGAAGAAGUGCAAAGCAGCUGAACAUUCCAGUGAGUAUGGGCUUUCAUCUGAAUGACAUUUACAUUAGAAAAUCUCCAAAAAAACAGCAUCUAGUCCCAGCUUCCCAUAUUCUUGUAGAAGUCUAAAUGUUUUCUCUUUCUCCUAAUGGUUCUUUCUAGGACACUUUUCUCUUGCAUUUGUGUUACGACUCAUUGUGUGCAUUAGUUUUGUUAUAAUUGUAUCUGUGAUGAUGCAAGAGGUGUCAAUUUCUGCAUGAAAAAUACAUUUUUCUUAGCUUUGUGGUAGGUAAGUUAGGCUAUGUAAACUCAGGUAGAUAGCCUACUGUGCUUCAAUGUACAUUUCUGUUGUAACAAUAUGCUCACACACUAGUUUGAGUAGAUGAAGAAAACUCGAUAUGGUUUCUCUUCUUCUCAGACAAUAUAGUUAUUCUUAUGCUAAGGUUCCAAUGCAGUUUCUUUCAGCAGGGAGCAGCGUCUUGCCUCUGUGCAAGGCAGCAACUACAGCUGCUGUCUUUUAAUUUUAUUAACCUGAAGUGUUACACUCUCACUGUUUCUUUUUGUGUCAAGCACUGUUUGAAGAAAGUAUGCUUGCUCUGUAAGGGAAGAAAAAGCCUGUAUCAGCAGUGGAUUAUUUACAAAACUGUGGUCAGUUACAUUUAUUUAAGCAUUACUUACUGGUGUUACUUUAUAUUCAUGAAGUAUAUACAAUAUCUUUCACUCUGCAAAUUACCACUACAAUUAAUCAAAUUUGAAUCUGCAAAUGUUAUCAAAUGAUUCUAAGCUAACAGAAGAUUUUUUUGCUCAAUAGAUCAUUUAUGUUUGAAGUCUCUUUCUAUACACCUUAUAGCAGGAUAUGUAAAAAACCCCACGAACACUGCAUUCUCAAGACUGGAUGUUGCAGUUAAGUAGCUGAAAGAUAAAAUGAUUUAGUAAUUCCUAUAAUUCAACAUACUAUCCAAUUAUGUAUUUUCUCUUCCCCUGUUGUGCUUAUAGGAGCAGUAAACUUCCAAAAUUUAGCUUUUUAGAUUUUUUUUCUAAAUACUAAUCUGGAAUAGCUGGUGGGUUUUUUUGGGGGGGUGAAGGGGGAGGGUAUAUUUUAUGCUUAUUGCUGUUUAGAAAUGAUUUUGCACAUUUGAAAAUGGCAUGGUGCAGAAUUAUAUUCAGGAAGAUUUUGGGGCGCUCAAAAAUAACGCAAGUGUUUCUGCAACAAAAGAAACUAAAGAGUAAUUCUAUCUUUCUCCAGGGAGUUUAUUCUUUGGUAUUACAAAACUGAUAUUAAAAUUUUCAAUCCCUUAUUUCCCCAGAGAAAAAAAAAAUAGUUGAGUUCUACCCAUCCCAUCUUUGAUAGAUCAUAUUUGAUUAUUAAUUUAUUAACAUAAUUUAGAAGGCUGGUGAUUUUACGUCUGCACUGAUUGAUGAACUUUUUUGUGGUAGACUGUUUUGCAUGUAUUAUACAGCUUCUUUCUCAGGUGAAUUUCCUCUUAGUAGUAAACAAAACCUCUUCAAUUCCAAAAUCUGCAUUGCAAACCUAUACUCAGAUUUCAAUCUACUUUGAAUUAUUCAUAUUUUCUUUGAAACUUUCUUUUUUAAACUCCUUUACUGUCAAUGAUGGUAAAAGGUAGAAAAAAAAUAUUCCCACUACUCUCAUUAACUGCACAGCACAUGACUAUUUUGUGCACUAGUGACCACUUCUAUUUAUAAAGUUAUUUCAUGUACUUGGAAGUCAAUAGUCAAAUUUUUGCUUUGCUGUUGUUGCUAUUCUUCUUUCUUCUACUGUGUUCGCAUACAAUGAUAAUGCUGUAAAUUUGCUUCUGGCACACAAAGUGAGAUUUAAAUAAUUAGCAAUCAACUCACAUUAUUUGAAACAUAACUGAUCUGUCACUUCAUUGGUCCUCUUUGAAGUUAGUUUACUGUAAUCCAUUAUUAGGGGCACUGGGGCAAAUCAGCUGGCAGGUUGGCAUCCCACUGGUUAUCACUGACUGUUUGUAGAUUUAAAAAAAUAUUUAACCGUAUUUAUGUUUUUGUCUUGAUAUAUUUCGUGAUGAACUGCUACAUGUGGACAAAUACACAUGUAUAUACCUUUGUGUUAGGACAUUCACAAGACAAGCAUGCAGUCCCAAGCCAGAAAUGGGCAUUUUUCAUUUCAGAGUCCUCAUGAUCUGUUCCUGAAUUACUUAAGGAUUUAGGAGCAGAGGAUGAGUGGCAAUUAGAAACACAAAUAAACAGCUAUUUUAUUUGGUGCAGGAAUUGACAUCUCAAAUUGGGAUCACCUAUUUUCCUCUACGCUCAAGGCCAGAUAAUUGAUGGAAAGAUGCACAGUGAAGCAGACCUUUCUGAAGCAUAUCACUCUGCACCUGAGAGAGUACUUAACCUGAAGGAAAUCAAUAAAAAAGUAGGAAAAACCUAUUGCAUAUCAGACUUUGAGCGGUCUCUUUCUGACUGAAAAAAAAAAAAAAUCCCCAUGGAGAAAAACAUGGUCCUGGCGGGAGCUGAAUGUUAACAUAUCUUCUAGGGAGGCUGAAAGACAUAGUUAUCCUUCAUGAGAAAAACAAUGUGAAGAAAAAAAUGCCUUCUCAUGAUCAACACUUCUGAUCUACCCUUCUUGAUAAAUAUCACUAAAAAGUUGGCAGUUGAAUAGUAUGUAUCUGUAUAUUAAUCUUUCUUUCAAUUCUAUAUUGAUACUACACAUUACAUAUCAUGUUAAUUUGAUCUGCUCUCAGUAAAGUGAGAGAUCAGGAUAUGUCAUUAACUUUUGUGCUCUCCUCUGUUUAUAAUGUGUGUGUAUAAAAUAAUUUUUUUGGAAGGCAGAUAACAGGUAUUUUUUGGAAUGUUGUUUAGGUUUGUGAAAGUUUCUCAGACAAGGUGUUCUUUUUCUUAGCAGGUCUGGAUGAGCUGAUCCAACUAGAGAUGGCUGAAGAUCCCUCUGGACUGCAUGCUCCUUGGAAAGCACAUCUGAAGAUGAGCAUAUCACUCCUAGAAUUUGAAAGACAUUUGAACAUGAAAUUGAAUGGGUCUGCCUCAGUAAAUAUAGGAGCAUAACAUACAUAAUCAAAAAAUCUAAAAAUGACACAACAAAAGUUACAGGAACGCAAUCAAAAUUUCAACCACGCCUGAAUUAUCCUACAUUCAAAAGAAAGAAUACACAGGUGUAAUAGGAUACUCAGCAUGUAUACCUCCAACCACUAAGAUCAAGCCUAUCAACUACAUUAUAGAAGAGUUUACUUUUGCUGAAUUGUUAUGUUCUGUUUUAGAGGUAUCUUUUCAUCACUGAAGAACACAUCAAAAGAUUUUAGUCUUUGACAUUCUUAUCCAGGAUACGUUUCACAGUCUUUCAUCAGCCACUGAAACUGGAUUAGCACCAGAAAAUGUUUAACACACACUCUAUGAGCAAAGAAGAGACCAAGGGGCCUUUGGCUUGCAAAGAAUCUAUAAAAUGUGAUUAUUAAUUUCAAGGUAUCACACAUUUAAAAUAGAGCUCUUCAGCAUUCUUUAUAACUAAAAUAAUGAAUUGAUGAAGAGCUGAUGAAGAGCCUGCCAGAAGAUAAUGUCAGAAUCCAGAAACAAAAUAGCUCACUUAACAACUGAGAUGGGCUCAUAAAAACCUCAGAACAGAAAUGAAACCCUGAUUUUCAAUUUAAUUUCUAAACACCACACUUGCUUCAAUUUACAAUGUAUUAGAGGAGUGGGUAAAAUUAAUCUUUAAAAUCCUCCAUCCCAUUACAGAAAUGGAAAAUAAAACGCUUACUGGUUUAUAGUUCAGUGGUGAUGGAUGCACGCUAGGCCUCUUCUUAGUAUGUACCGAGCUGUUUUCAAGAAAUGCAUAUAAUCUGGAAGCAAAGCUGACAAAACUAUGUUACUGAAAUUGCCUUGAUGCAAACACUGCAAAGGCUGUUUGUUUACUUGAAGAAGUCAGAGCUGGGUGGUGGAAUUUUAACUACUAAAUUUUCCAGUUCUCAUCAUCAGCAUUAGAUGGUGUAUUUAGUUCUAAAACACAGUUAAAUGUUCCUGGAAAUCUCGGACGAUCCUGUGCUGCAGCUGAAGCCACGAAACACAUCCAACUCACAAAAUGAGAUACUCCGUGCUUGAAAAUUACAAUUUUUAAAAAGUGAAAUCCUUAAAAUUCUUGAAAUAUUGUCUGUUGAAAUUCUUGGAAAUAUUUGUUUGAAAAGAAUGUAGCUGCAUGUAGAAAAUGGUUGCAAAACUGCUAUAAUUUUGAGCUAGCAACACAUGCCAAUGUAUCAAUAUUGCACACAAUUAUUUUUUAUGAGAAGGCCAUACGAACAUGAUAAAAUUAACAAUUUCAGUGUUUCAAGAAUUAAUUUAAAAUACAUUUUGCAAGGUUCUUUUAGCUAUUUAUACAUUUUUUUCAUCACAGCGUUACAUCAGAACAUUAAAGAUUCUAUCAGAAAGGUAAGAAAGGAAAACAGUUGUGCAAAAUCAGAACAUAAUGUGAGUUUACGGUUGCUCUGUGAUUCACUGUAACGCAUUAUUAAUCCAUAUGUUAGUACAAAUAAAAUAUUUUGAAAAUUGUGAUUUUAUGGAAUUGAGUUUAAUUUGUAAAAUCAUUUUGUCCAUAGCAAUGAAUAUGUAAUGUUUUCUUGUACUACAUUUUUCUUGUAUUUUUCUAUUUAAAAAUCAUAUUUACAAAAAUAUUUAUAGAGGGAAUAAAGGGGAUUUAUAAUUUAUAAAGGGAAUAAAGUAAAAUGCAUAUCGAAGGAGAAAUUUUAGCUAUAGAAGUUCAUGUUCACUCAGUAGACCAGAACCUGUAAUUUGUCAUUUUUCUACUGGACCUCUGUUCUCAAUUGCUUGCAGUAAUUAAUAUCAUAAAUUUUUCAAACCAUAAAAAGAAAGAAAAUUUGGUACACGGAUAGAUUUGAGGCAGCGCUGUAAAUUAUUAUUUUCUAUAGUUAAAACCAAAGAAUAGUCCAUUAGAAAUAGAAAACUGUCAGAACCAACACAAGGUCUAUUAGACUUAAUAAGGGAUUUCAUUAUUCAGUCAGUAUUAUCCAUACAGCAAACGCAUGACUGGAGAUGUAGUUACAAGUGUUGAUUCUCAGUGUUAUUUUACGCAAAUCACUUCAGCGUUUCAAAUUUGUAUGGCAUAUGUUAAUAGCUUUAGACUUACAGUGGAGCUCUGCAACUCAUACAGUUUGUAAAAUGAUUGCCCACACCAGUUUCCUAAUGACUGUACAAGACUGCAAGGCCCAAUUCUCAGCUCAGUAAGGUCUCGUGAACUACUGUGAAUUUGAAUUUGUUGACAUGCUGAAUUACUGUCGAUCCUGAUGCAAGUUUCUACAUGUAGAAUGUAUGCAUUACAGUAUCCGACCCUAUGUAGCUCUGAGUCAUAUGCAUUUAGUUAAGUGGCAAAACAAAUGUUUACUUCUGUCAGUGCCGCUGAGCCAGUAACUGUGAUUACUAUUAAACUGCGGGAAAGAAAGAAAGAAAAAAGCUAUUUUUUAGUGCUUAUCCAUUUACAGAAAAAAUAUGAGACCCCGAUUUUAGGCUCUGUGUUGUUGAUGAUUAAUGACCAGUGACAGUCAGAGCUGAAAGAACAAAGCAUGAUUUUCAAAUACCCAACACAGUAUGAAGAACUGGCAGAUCUUAAAUUCUCUCCUGCUGUCAGAUAUCAUACUUCUACUUGGACCACAUUUUGUGCAAAAUUAACUAAAAUACCAAAUCAUGCAGACCUAAUAGUAUACUUAAUGAAAGCAGCUCGUCUCUAGGCGCUGAUAAUUUUGAUAUAUUAAAAUGAAGGUAAUAUAUUUAUCUCAUUGACCUAACGUUUAAAUUUGCAAACAUCUCAUAGGCCAAAGAAAACAAAAAAACUAAUAAAUAUGCUGAAAAGCUCCAUACCUCAGUAUGAAAUCCUGACCCUUUCUCCAACUAAGUACACAGAGUCCAAAUGCAGUGAGAAUGCCAAGCUACAGGGGCCCCUCGGUGGGGAAACCUGUAUUCAGUCAGCAGCAUCCGUCCGCCAAAGAGACGUGAGGGGACGGAUGUGAGAGAGGGGUGUCACUUUAAAGUGGUGGCUGCUUUGAGAAUGAGUGUGUGUACGUGUGUGGGUUAGAUUUGGGUACUGUAUUUUGCCCAAGUGUUUGGACAGAGCAGGACCACCUCUCUGGGCUCAUUUCUG
ensembl:lncRNA